rnacentral:rRNA from 1 species
AGAAUCAACGCUGGCGGCGUGCCUAACACAUGCAAGUCGAACGAGAAAGUGGAGCAAUCCACAAGUAAAGUGGCGCACGGGUGAGUAACACGUGACUAACCUACCCUUGAGUGGGGGAUAACCUAGAGAAAUCUGGGCUAAUACCGCAUAAUACCUUCGGGUCAAAGGAGCAAUUCGCUUAAGGAGGGGGUCGCGGCCGAUUAGUUAGUUGGCGGGGUAAUGGCCCACCAAGACGAUGAUCGGUA